rnacentral:rRNA from 1 species
UGGGGAAUUUUGGACAAUGGGCGCAAGCCUGAUCCAGCCAUGCCGCGUGCGGGAAGAAGGCCUUCGGGUUGCAAACCACUUUUGUCAGGGAAGAAAUCUUCUGAGUUAAUACCUCGGGAGGAUGACGGUACCUGAAGAAUAAGCACCGGCUAACUACGUGCCAGCAGCCGCGGUAAUACGUAGGGUGCAAGCGUUAAUCGGAAUUACUGGGCGUAAAGCGUGCGCAGGCGGUUUUGUAAGACAGAGGUGAAAUCCCCGGGCUCAACCUGGGAACUGCCUUUGUGACUGCAAGGCUUGAGUGCGGCAGAGGGGGAUGGAAUUCCGCGUGUAGCAGUGAAAUGCGUAGAUAUGCGGAGGAACACCGAUGGCGAAGGCAAUCCCCUGGGCCUGCACUGACGCUCAUGCACGAAAGCGUGGGGAGCAAACAGGAUUAGAUACCCUGGUAGUCCACGCCCUAAACGAUGUCAACUGGUUGUUGGGAAGGUUCCUUCUCAGUAACGUAGCUAACGCGUGAAGUUGACCGCCUGGGGAGUACGGCCGCAAGGUUG